AGCUGUGCUCACUGUCAGCCUCCUGCGCCCAAGCUACUACACAUGAAGUGCUUUCCCUUUACGGAGCAAAAUCAGAAAGGCAUUUGUCAGUACUCUGUACAGCAUGCAGAAAACAGACAUGUCUAGCAGCUCAUAAAGCCAUCCAGCCAAAACCAGCGUUCUUGCCUUUCUGCUGUGCAGGCUGCUGACCUGCAUUUAGCUGUCUGGCGACAGGGAUGCAUCCAGUCACACAGGGGGGGUCUCCUAAAUGCUGUUUAGCAGCAGAAGGCAGGCAUGACUGUGCUUUCUGGACCUGAGCUGAGCUCCAAUUUGGGCUUGGCCAGUGACCUCCUGGAUAACCUUGAAAUGGCCGUUUCACCUCUUGGUGCUUUCCUCUCUGUCUGCUCCACUUGCAGCACUUCAGAGCAGGGACUGCUUCUUGUGCAAGCAGCCUGGCUAUUAAGAACACAGUGCAGCUGAGAGCUCCUACUGCUAAAAGCAAAUGCAAAAUAAAUAAAUAAAUAAUAUAUCAGAAGAAAAUUUUGCAAUGAACUGUUAUCUAUUUAUCAAAAAUAUGUUAACAAGCAAAAACUUCAUUUUUUUUCCCCAGUGAACUAAAAGCAUAGACAUUAGCAAUAAAUAGCACUGCAGGCGAUGUAACACAAUGCAAUUUAAAAGGCAGGUGGAACACUAAUUCCCAUGGUACCCCAAACACCCAGUUUCCCAGGCUAACAGCCUGUUGAACUCUGAGCACACACAGCAAGGUCUCCAAGGCUCUCACAGGACAAGGCCAAGUUUCUCCUUGGUUGCCCGACACUUCCCUCAGCAAGCAGAGCAUUAAGAGAUACCAGGCUGGUGAGCGAUGUUUAAUGACACAUGCUGAAGACAUCCCAGGCUACGAACACUCCUGAAAAAACACUAUUUUAUCACUUUUUCAUUAGCAGGCUCCUUUCUGCUCCAGUACCGGCUCUCAAGUAUGGGUUUGCUGAAAACCAAGUCUUGUGGCACCUGGCCACAAUCCACACAAGAAGAAAACACCAGAGGCAAAGAGGCCGGCGCCCAUGGUGACCGCAGAACCAGGUGGGGAGUUACUCCCUUGGGAGCCCAAACCCCGGGCUGCAUGGUGCUGCUACUCCUGCCCCUGUGGAGACUGAGAAAUUCUGUGUUCCUGCAGCAUUUCACCGCACUGGUCUCGCAGAGGUCACCGCCAGCCUUGCCACAUGAACCCAACACACACAGGACGACCUCUGCUGCUACUUGGGUGCCACACAGGUGUUAAGAGUAGUAGGUAUCAGUUCAACGCCAUGCUUUCAACAAAAGUACCUGCGAACUCCCAAGCCUUUCCCAUCACUUCAAGUUGAAAAGGAACAACCUAUUUUUCAUGGUACCUCUAAAACACCAUCUGAUUAAAUAUCUCCAGAAAGCUUGAGCUGAAAGUCAUGUAGGCUCUACAAACUCUCCAUAUUCUCGUAAAUGAAAAGCAAAGCUCCUCAAAGGGCCUAGCAGCAUUUCUGUUUGGCUCAAUGAAAAUGGGUUUUCAUGGUGAAGGUGUCAGGAUUCAAGGUAAAAGAGAAGUCAUGGGAAUGAAGUAGGAGGCCUGGAGUAAGCAGUCUACAGAGUAAUUCCUUUCACGCCACCUGCCACCUACGUAAACCCAUCCCACUGACCAGACUCUGGAGAAAGUAAAACCAUCUGGAAACAGUAUUCCAAAACUAGGCAGCACAGAGAUAGAUAUUUAUCUGAAACCAUUAGAAAUGCCUCAUUUUUCAAAUGUCAGAUGAUAAGGCCAAACCUAAGGCCAAAACAGCUAUUCCAGGGCUGCUAUGCACCAUAAUACUGAACACCAUGAAACUGGCAGUAUGAUUUGGCACUGAAAAUUAUCACUUUGCAAUACUCUCAGAUUGAAAGAAAACCUGAACAACAGAAAAGAAAAGCACUCUUUACUGCACAUCAUCUCAUUACUUUAACCUAGAGUAAUCCAAACUCUUCUGUUUCAGACUGCUCUGUAUGGAGCAGUCAGGCCAGGCAGUGCCAUUCUGCAUCUGCACAAAUCACCAGUUUUUACCCCCCAAAAUAGAGGUGAAAAGGUGGAUGGCUGAGCAAGUCAGGAGUGCUAAACCGAUUAAGUCCCUCUUGAAAAGUAAUCCAAAACAACAGAAGAGCCCUGAUACUACAAAGCAUCUUUUUUUUAUUAUUUUUUUUUUCAGAGGUAUUUCAUUACAAAUGGCUUUCUUCCUGGGCUCAGGUCCAGAAAUAUCAGUAUUGCCUUAUUUUUUUUCCAAGAAAUAUAUUGCUUGAAUAAUGCGCACCUCGUGCACUGCAUUUAAACAGAUGAUCAUUGAUCUCCUUGAACUCUUUUCUUCCCAUUCUGUUCUCUCUUCCCUGGGUUAAAUGAAAGUAUUUUUCCAAUUUUUAUCAGAAGCCUGAAAACCUACGUGCGAAUUGCAAAUGGAACUCACACAGAAGCAGAAAGACCCCUUUCUUGGUAGUUCUUCAUUUAAUCCAGCAAUGUCACAAUCUCACCUUGCUUUUUCACAUGUACCAAGGAACGUACAAAAAAAUAAAAAUAAAUGAAGACGACCACAGCCCCUUUGGGAAAUGAUGAUGGCAAAGCCCAGCCCCUGAAAAAGCUGUGCUACAGCCCGGGCAGGCCGGCCAGGGGUGCUCAGGGAGCCACCACUCCUAUAACCACUGCAGAUUUUUUCUGAGGCUGGAAGAGUCCGCUGACCUAAAUACUUGAAAAUUCCCCCUUUGAUGUGCCCUUUGAGUGCUUCCCUGUCCCAGGGGGAAUUUCUCACGCCUUUUAAUUCUUACCACCCAGCUCAGCACCUCUGACUCUGGUCUUGUCUGAGGCAACCAUCUAGCGAGAAACAACUUCAGUCAAUACUCAAAACAGGGUGAUUUAAAUAAAAAUAAUACCUGUGUCUUUGUGACUCAGAAUCCUCACGACAAUUUAGCGUGUAAUUCCUUUUUCAUCCGCAGCCGCCAGUCUGGAAGAUGCUGUCGUGUCUCCUUUUGGGAUGACAUAAAACGAAGGUCCCCACACUUGAAGCCUCUGGAAAGCACAACAAUUUGGGAAUCUUCCAGCUCUAUAACGCCUUGCCAGGCAGCCUGAAACCUCAGAAAGGUAUUUCAUAAAUUCAGACGUAACUUCUGCUUCACAGGGAUACCCGAAGCAGACCACGGCUUUCCCAGCGGAGGCUACCACGGUGGCCACAAACCUCGCUGCAGCCCUGGAGGUGUCUGCAGCUGCCAGAUCAGCCCAGCAGCCGAGCUCGCCAGCGUGCCUGCGCGCCAGGCAGGCACUGAGCUUCUCGCAGCAGUCUGGGCGUGAUUUAGCUCCUCUUCCCUCUCAUCUCCAUACCGCUGUACGGCUUUUAGAUACUUAUAUUCAUGCGAGGCUAUAAAUGUUGAAUGCUCCCUGUGCUACUUUGCCAGGGAUUUAAGAGAGCAGCUUGAAGGACUAUGGCUGAUAAAAAUUGAGCUUGUCAUAGAGGAGAAGGAAAAACGUUGCAAGCUGUAAUUGUUCUGAGAAAACAUUACUGGAAGACACAUAAUCCAACAUGACACUUCAAGCUCUUGCCACAGAAUGCUUGACCAUAAAAGGACAAAAAAAAAAAAAAAAA